AGGAUUAACGCUGGCGGCGUGCCUAACACAUGCAAGUCGAACGAGGUAGCAAUACCUAGUGGCAGACGGGUGAGUAACGCGUGGUCAACCUACCGUUGAGUGGGGGAUAACUAGCCGAAAGGUUAGCUAAUACCGCAUACGAGUCUCGGGGGCAUCCCUGGGACUUAAAAGGAGCAAUCCGCUCGAUGACGGGACCGCGUCCCAUUAGCUAGAUGGUGGGGUAACGGCCUACCAUGGCACCGAUGGGUAGCUGGUUUGAGAGAGCGACCAGCCACACUGGGACUGAGAAACGGCCCAGACUCCUACGGGAGGCAGCAGUGAGGAAUUUUCCGCAAUGGGCGAAAGCCUGACGGAGCGACGCCGCGUGUGGGAAGAAGGCCUUCGGGUCGUAAACCACUGUCGAAGGGGACGAUAAUGACGGUACCCUUGGAGGAAGCCCCGGCUAACUACGUGCCAGCAGCCGC
rnacentral:rRNA from 1 species